ensembl:lncRNA
AUGGCUCCACACGCCAGGGUUCUAAGGGUCACACGUGUGCAGAUAGCAAAGCUUGCUGCACACACGCCAGGUGCUAACAAGCCCCAAACUUCUCACUCAUACUUGCUAACUACAUCUCUUCUCCCAGCCUCCAUGGCGUUUCACACUCUGCCUUUAUAUAGAGAUGAACCAUGCAUCCUGAGUGCUACAAAGAUUCACCUCCUUCCGGGCAGAAGGGUGCAUCUUUCCAUCACGGGGUCUUCACGCGAGCCGGCCCAGGAUUUGCAGAGUGGGACCAACUUCAAAGGCCUGCAAAGCCAGAGAAGGGAGAGGAGAUGGAACACGCCCUCACCUCAGACCUGCUGCAAGCACGUACUUCUCAGAUGCAUCCCAAGGUGCACAGCGUGUCCGUUGCCUGUUUCACAUCCAUCGACCUGCAGGUCUUCUAUGUGGCAUCAGCCUCCUGGGCACUGGAAACAAGAGGAAUAAUGGCAAGUCCCCUCUGCAGCAAAGGUGAGGAAAAGGGACCCGACGCAAUGGAACUGUCCUUUUUCUGACAGUCUCAAAACAGAAGGAAAAUACUGUACAGCCAACUUCCCCUCAUGCAGGUUUAUUUACCUGUGACUCAGAGGCCAUGACAGACAACUUCAGGUUCUCACCGAUUCCUAUUUUCCCCAUCCAGGAAGCCUUUGUUUUUAAUCGUACGAACUUGCCAUUUUGUAGACCAAAAACAGCAAAUAUUGGCAGUUUCCUACAGUUCAACCGAAUAAAAUAGGAUCAUGGCCUUUUGUGAAACCAUGAAGAAAAGGUGGGUAUCUCAAUAUGUGUUUCCAGACUGGCUUUGUUCCUGAAGCACUAACUCUGUUCACUCAGGAUUUUAGACACUGAAGAAUAAACAUCAAUAUCCCACCAAGAAAACCAAAAGGAUGAAAUAAUUUUGCAUCCACCUUGGAGCCUUUUUAGGACAAGGCAGGACACAAACUUUUAAAAAGCUGCAGUUGUCCCUCUGUAUACACAGGGACAUGGAUUCCAGAACACCCUCCGAGUUUGCCCAAAUCUACGUAUCCACAGGACUCGGCCGCCACCCUAUGGAACCGCAUGUAGGAAACGUCAGCCCUCCACAAAGCCAGGUUUUUUCAGUAAGGUUUGGUUGGAAAAUAAUUAACAUAAGUGAUCCUUCGAAGCUCAAAACCCAUGUUGUUCAGGGUCAGCUGCAUUUACUACUUGUGUCGUAUCUGAGGCCUGAAAGCCAUCAUUCUCGAUACCUUAACGUGAUGGUUAACAAACUAACUGUUCUGAUUAGAAAGAGGAAAAAGCUAAUUUUUAAGCUGACAACGAGAGUGGAUGUGCUACGGUGAACGGAGAACAGACCUAAGCAAGCACCAAGGCUGGGGUGACUGCCUGUGCUCAGACCCACCAGGGCGUGUUCCUCCAUCUCCCUCUGCUGAAAGGGAUAACCGCUUCUCCCCCACGAGUAAAGGGCCUUUUUUAAAUAUUCACACGAGAAGUGCUAUGAAAAGCUGAAAGGUCACAGAUAACAUUUUUAAAAAUAAACGUUAACGUAAGCAUUUAACAAGCCCAUUAUAAUUUUAAAAAAAUAUAUAUAUUAAGUUCUUGGGUGUGGUGGCUCAUGGCCGUAAUCUCAGCACUUUGGGUGGCCGAGGUGGGCGCAUCACCUGAGGUCAAGAGUUUAAGACCAACCUGGCCAACAUGGUGAAACCCCGUCUCUAAAGAAAAUACGAAAAUUAGCCAGGCAUGGUGGCAGACGCCUGUAGCCCCAGUUACUUGGGAGGCUGAGGGAGGAGAAUCACUUCAACUCGGGAGGGAGAGUUUGCAAUCAGCCAAGAUCAUGUCAUUGCACUUCAGCCUGGGCAUUGAGUGUGAAACUCCAUUCCAAAAAGAAAAAAAAAUUAUAAAGUUUUCCUUCUAAUGAACCUAUCAUUCAGCCACCGAGGUAUACUAUAGCUACUUAUUCAACCAUGAGAUACACCACAGGAGAUAUAGGCGAACAGGACACAGUUCUCUGAAAGAAGGCUGCACCCUCAACAGAAGGGAGGCACACACUCCGAAUGGAAUCGGCAUAGGGAACAGAUGCUGCUGCAGGUGGAACUGGCUGCACAGAGCACCCGCUCAAGUGUCUGAGAAACAAGGAGCCGUUGAUGCCAUCACCUUCCAUACCUGAGCUGGGGUAGUGGGGAGCCUGUCAUCACCACCACCACCACCCGGACAAAGAGCCCCAGAACCACACAACGAG